UUUAGGUCCAUUGUAUAAGCACAGAGUUCACCAUGCGUAAGCAUGGAGGAGAGAAGGGAGUGCCGUUCCGUAUUCAAAUCGACACUUUCAAGGAGAACGAGGCUGGGGAGUACACUGAGCAUCUGCACUCUGCCAGCUGCCAAUUCAAAGUUUUUAAGCCUAAAGGUGCGGACAGAAAGCAGAAAACAGACAGAGAAAAAAUGGAGAAGCGAGCACCGCAGGAAAAGGAG